CUCUUGUUGCCCAGGCUAGAGUGCAGUGGCACGAUCUCGGCUCACUGCAACCUCUGCCUCCCGGGUUCGAGCGAUUGUCUUGCCUCAGCCUCCCGAGUAGCUGGGAUUACAGGCGCUUGCCACCACGCCCAGCUAAUUUUUUUUUUUUAUUUUUAGUAGAAACGGGGUUUCGCCAUGUUGGGGAGGCUGGUCUCAAACUCCUGACCUCAGGUGAUCUACCUGCCUCGGCUUCCCAAAGUGCUAGGAUUACAGACAUGAGCCACUGUGCCUGGCCAGUGAUUUUUUUUUUUUUUUUUUUAAACACAAGCCUCUGACCCACAGUGAUUCAUGGGGAGAGCUUAGAGAGCUCCAUGCUACUGGUAACUUCCCUUCACUUUGACUAAAGUGACUAACAUCUCUCUACCUGACCUCACUGUCCCAUGCAGAGACCACGUGUUGUUGAUAGAAGAUUGUACCAAAGGAAUAAUUCAUAGAACAACAAGGAAGAAUUAAGCUAACAACAGAUUCCAAAAUGUUAUUCAAGAAAUGAGACAAAGCCCCAGACACUCCUGGCCUGUAUGGAUGGGCAGUUCUUCUUAACAUGUAAGCCCUUAUGGUCUUUGAAAAGAUCCACAGCCCUGGUCGGACCUGUGAGGCACUGGAAGAGUCCAGCAGCUGCGGGAGGGAGUGUUUCCG
rnacentral:lncRNA from 10 species